AGAGUUUGAUCAUGGCUCAGAACGAACGCUGGCGGCAGGCUUAACACAUGCAAGUCGAACGAGAAGCCUUCCUUCGGGAAGGUGGAAAGUGGCAGACGGGUGAGUAACGCGUGGGAAUCUACCCAGUGGUACGGAAUAACUCAGGGAAACUUGGGCUAAUACCGUAUGUGCCCGAAAGGGGAAAGAUUUAUCGCCAUUGGAUGAGCCCGCGUCUGAUUAGCUUGUUGGUGAGGUAAUGGCUCACCAAGGCAACGAUCAGUAGCUGGUCUGAGAGGAUGAUCAGCCACACUGGGACUGAGACACGGCCCAGACUCCUACGGGAGGCAGCAGUGGGGAAUAUUGGACAAUGGGCGAAAGCCUGAUCCAGCCAUGCCGCGUGAGUGAUGAAGGCCCUAGGGUUGUAAAGCUCUUUCGGCGGGGACGAUAAUGACGGUACCCGCAGAAGAAGCCCCGGCUAACUUCGUGCCAGCAGCCGCGGUAAUACAGGGGGUGCAAGCGUUGUUCGGAAUCACUGGGCGUAAAGGGAGCGUAGGCGGAACUACAAGACAGGGGUCAAAUCUCCGGGCCCAACCUGGAACUUGCCUUUGUGACUGUGGUUCUUGAGUAUGGUAGAGGUCAGCGGAAUUUCCGGUGUAGCGGUGGAAUGCGUAGAGAUCGGAAAGAACACCAGAGGCGAAGGCGGCUGACUGGACCAAUACUGACGCUGAGGCUCGAAAGCGUGGGGAGCAAACAGGAUUAGAUACCCUAGUAGUCC
rnacentral:rRNA from 1 species